rnacentral:rRNA from 1 species
AAAUCGUACCCCAAACCGACACAGGUGGUCAGGUAGAGAAUACCAAGGCGCUUGAGAGAACUCGGGUGAAGGAACUAGGCAAAAUGGUGCCGUAACUUCGGGAGAAGGCACGCUGAUAUGUAGGUGAGGUCCCUCGCGGAUGGAGCUGAAAUCAGUCGAAGAUACCAGCUGGCUGCAACUGUUUAUUAAAAACACAGCACUGUGCAAACACGAAAGUGGACGUAUACGGUGUGACGCCUGCCCGGUGCCGGAAGGUUAAUUG